rnacentral:rRNA from 14 species
CACCGGCCAUGGCAGCGGCCCACCGGCAGAAGAGCCUGCCGGACCUGUUGCGGGGUGCUGCACGGCUGUCGCCGGCAUCGCUCUCGGAGGG